rnacentral:sRNA from 1 species
UCUCUACCAUGGUGGUUUAAAGAAUAGUAUGCAAUAAUAGAAACUGUUUCAAUCUAUAGAGUUCUGGGAGUAGUUCUUUGAAAAGGCCAAAGCCGUGAAUGGAAGAGGAUGCUUACUUCUUACCAAGAAGAUGUACACAUGGAAGUAUCUGUAAUUAUUGUGUAGUUAAUUAUAAGUGGUAAAUAUACAUUGGACGAGUUACUACAAUAAACCAUCAUAGAUGUUGGUAACUGUCAAUAAAAUAUUUCAACAGUUUACCUUUC